rnacentral:lncRNA from 1 species
AACGUAUCAUCUAUCUUUAUUAAUAUAGAUACCAGCAGGUUUACAUAAAUAUAAUUGCAAGAGUAUACAAAUGCCCCAACAAAAGCAAAAAUACAUUUAUAUUGAUUCAUUUUUUCAAAGGUAAUAUUUCACGGUUGUUCACAUGGUAGCUAAAAACACAUAGGUGAUAUGCACUCCCCAUACCUAUAACCUGUCAGUGCUAUCAACAGGUUCACUACUAUCCCCAGCAGAAAAAACCCUAAUGAAAUAAAGCAGACUUUCACAUCAAACCAAAGCCUGACAGGUUAAGGGGACACAAACAGAAGUGUAGAACAGACUAACUGAUGACAUUUACAAUAAAAACAAAACACCCAUGAUAAAAAUUCUGAAUGACAAGUUUGUUUGAAUUAGGUGAAAUUUGUGUUUGUCUUGACUGACAUAAGCCCAAUCAUAAAAAUAAAUUCCAGUGGCACACAGUAUCAAUACCAUUUCAAAAAGCUACAUAAAUAAUUAACAGAAUUACAAUAUUUUGUUAUAGUUUCCCAUUUGCAAUGAACAAUCAAGAGAGGCUAGAUAGAUAAAAUCUAUAUUAAAAAAGUAACAGAUAUACAUUUAUAUUGAAUCAAGCUGCAUAGCAGUUUGAGACAAAACUUCAAUUGCACCUACAUUAAACAACAAAUGCGAUUAACAUUUUCGUGAAAAUAAAUCAGAUGCACAACAAAUUGCACAACACUAUACAUUUAUCUGGUCACUCAUUUCUGUACAGCAUUUGAAGCACACAAGUUUUAUGGCUUGCAAGAUACUAGUUAUCAAGGGCUAAUAACCACUGACAAUAGUGUCACAGUGGUGAAUAAAACAGGCAACAAUGGUACACGAUAAAUCUGGUAUCUACUAUAAAAGUUUGUCAAGGCACAAGUAUAUCAUCCAAUGUACUGAGCAAUACUUCUAAAAUAUAUUUGCUGUACACUGUGAUGUCAUAAAUCAUUGGUUAGUCUGGGUGCAAAUAUGGUAAAAAUAUAACUUUCAUGGUGACCUCUGCAUUUCUGUAGUCAUUGGUUGAGUAGGAAAAGUAGUUCAUUUUUAGGUCUUCAGUAAAUGGAACCAUAACCGGCAUAAUAACGUAUAGCGCCACUCAAUUACAAAGACUCAUGUCGUCAUCAAUGUAAAACAUGUAGCCUACUUGACAAAUAGCCCUCCUCUUUUGUCAACGCUCAUACUAUUUGGGAUAUUCAUUGGUUACAUUUGAAAAUAGGUAUUUUUUCCCCCUCAAUAUGCUUGAAAAUAACAAUGAUCUUAUUGUGUAUUCAUAACACAAAACAUUAACAUGCUGCUGCCAAAAUAUUGUAUGUAUACUAUAUAUAAAGAAUGUACUUUAUCAUUGUAAUUGGUCCAAUGUUGAGUAAGGUGGCCUGAUUAGCAACCUGCUCGGGUUGAGGUAACAAACACAUUCGUUUGGAGUUUUUUGUAAACCCUAUUAACAAAUAUUUAAUAGAUGCUGUUUUAUCUGUCUGUAUGGCUUUAUAACUGGCAUAGUUGUCCAAUAACUUCCUACACUUUCCUUAUUCAAGAGGUGAAAUAAGUUGUAGAUGUGACAGUAUAGGUUCAAUGUUUCACAAAUUAUAUCACAAGGGUUUGACUUAAACUAUCAGCUUUGGACAAACAAACUGUACAAUUGAUCUCAACCUGGCAUAUGAACGGAAAUCUAAGGAGGAAAACAAUGCACAGGAAAGUACAUGUGACUCAUAGUGUACAUGGUACAUUUUAACUCCCUCAACCAUAAAGUUGUAUCCCUGUCCUCACAAGGAGAAGAUAAGCUUCACUGACAGAUAUGACACACAAGAACACUGCCAAUUACAGUUUCAACAGAUGGGGAAGGGCCAAAUCCACAUAUCUAAUAUUAAUACAAUUACAGAGUUAAAUCAGAACCAAACUUGUACAUAAAGUCAUUUGUAGCACAAAGAUGAUUGUGGGACACAAUAUCUAAGACAAAAAAUACCAAAUAAAUUAGAUAUGAUUUCUGAAAAGAUGUAUUAGAACUACACCAGUAAAAAAGAUAUGAUAAAAUAUUUGUAAAUCUUAUAAAAAAAUUCACAUAAAUACUCAUGACUAUUGGAAACAAAAGUACUAGUUUUUCACAAGAGUUGAAGAAAGCCAAUCACAGACAGCUUUUUUCUCUAAAGCAACUUAACGGUUCAUUCUUCAUGAGUAGGGUCCCUUAAAAUAUCUAAAAGAACACAGCUCAAGCUCUGGGAUGGGGAAUAUGGGGCCCCACCAAUCACAUUACUAAAAAUAGUUUAAAUACUCUCCAUUUUAAAAACUCUUCUUGUUUUUAAAGUGAAUAAAAGGUCAUGAUGUUAAGAACACACACUAACAGACAAUAACAAUAAGAGAGAAAGAUGGAGGCACUCAACUAAGCUGUUCUUGUUGUCAUCAGAGACCAGCCCCUUGGUCAUGCGUAUACUCAGAUUCAGACUAAAAACAAGACACAAUCUUACGGUUGGCUCCACUCCUGCCCAAUAUUCACAUGUAAAGAAUAAAAGCACAAACCAGUUUGGCAGCAGUACAAGUGUGGGAUCUUAAUUUGAGCCAGUUUGCUACAGCAGAAAAAUAAUCCUGCAGCAAAAGGAAAUGUGAAUUAUUCUGUGGAUUAUAAUUAAUGGACAUUUUUGUAGGGGUUGAUGCAUUUUUCAUUAGGGUAAAAUCAAGUCUGAAAUUUCAAAGUCAAAAAUACAAACUUUAGAAACCUUUUUAAAACUCAAAUACACAUGCCUCCCGAGAGGCGCAGCAUCUAAGACACUGCAUCGCAGCGCUUGAGGUGUCACUACAGACCCGGGUUCGAUCCCAGGCUGUGUCACAGCUGGCCACGACUGGGAGACCCAUGAUGCGGCGCACAAUGUCCUUGUCCCAUCGCGCUCUAGCGACUCCUUGUGGCGGGCCGGGCGCAUGCACGCUGACUUUGGUCGCCAGCUGUACAGUGUUUCCUCCGACACAUUGGUGCGGCUGGCUUCCGGGUCAAGCGAGCAGUGUGUCAAGAAGCAGUGCGGCUUGGCAGGGUCAAGUUUCGGAGGACGCAUGGCUCUCGACCUUCACCUCUCCCGAGUCCGUACGGGAGUUGCAGCGAUGGUACAAGACCAACUACCAAUUGGAUAUCACGAAAUUGGGGGUAAAAAGUACAAUAUAUAUAUAUAUU